rnacentral:rRNA from 1 species
CCUACGGGAGGCAGCAGUGAGGAAUAUUGGUCAAUGGGCGGGAGCCUGAACCAGCCAAGCCGCGUGAAGGAAGAAGGCGCCAGGCGUCGUAAACUUCUUUUGUCGGGGAACAAAGGCGGGGACUAGUCCCCGGAUGAGGGUACCUGAAGAAAAAGCAUCGGCUAACUCCGUGCCAGCAGCCGCGGUAAUACGGAGGAUGCGAGCGUUAUCCGGAUUUAUUGGGUUUAAAGGGUGCGCAGGCGGCCUGUUAAGUCAGCGGUAAAAGCCCGGGGCUCAACCCCGGCGAGCCGUUGAAACUGGCGGGCUGGAGUGGGAGAGAAGUACGCGGAAUGCGCGGUGUAGCGGUGAAAUGCUUAGAUAUCGCGCAGAACCCCGAUGGCGAAGGCAGCGUACCGGCUCCACACUGACGCUGAGGCACGAAAGCGUGGGUAUCGAACAGGAUUAGAUACCCGUGUAGUC